rnacentral:rRNA from 1 species
GCGACGUGCCUAAGGUAUGCAAGUCGAAUGCCGAUUUAUCGGCAUGGCAGACGGCUGAGUAAUACAUGGGAAUCUACCUCAACUCGAGAAUAGCCCAUCGAAAGGUGGUGUAAUACUCGAUAGUUCCGUUUACGGUAAAGCUCCGGCGGUUUGAGAUGAGCCCAUGUCCUAUCAGGUUGUUGGUAGGGUAAUUGCCUACCAAGCCUAUGACGGGUAGCUGGUUUGAGAGGAUGAUCAGCCAGACUGGGACUGCGAUACGGCCCAGACUCCUACGGGAGGCAGCAACUAGGAAUCAUGCGCAAUGGACGAAAGUCUGACGCUGCGACGUCGCGUGAGGGAUGAAGGUCUUCGGAUCGUAAACCUCUUUUAUCUGGGAACAAGUUCUGAGUGUACCAGAUGAAUAAGUGCCUGCCAACCACGUGCCAGAAGCAUCGGUAAUGCGUGGGGCACGAGCGUUAUCCGGAUUUACUGGGCGUAAAGAGAUGCGUAGGCGCCUUUUUAAGUCACUUGUAAAAUCUCCCCGCUCAACGGGGAAACUGCAAGUGAUACUGAAUUGGUUGAGUCAAGUAGAGGAGAGGGGAAUUCCUGGUGGAGCGGUUAAAUGCGUUGAUGUCAGGAGGAAUACCAAGUGCGAAGGCACCUCUCUGGACUUGUACUGACGCUAAGGCUCGAAAGUGUGGGGAGCAAAACGGAUUAGAUACCCGUGUAGUCCACACUGUAAACGAUCCCUGCUAGAUGUUUG